CACGUAGGGUGCGAGCGUUGUCCGGAAUUAUUGGGCGUAAAGAGCUCGUAGGCGGUGUGUCGCGUCGGCCGUGAAAACCUGCAGCUUAACUGUGGGCUUGCGGUCGAUACGGGGCAUCACUGGAGUUCGGCAGGGGAGACUGGAAUUCCUGGUGUAGCGGUGGAAUGCGCAGAUAUCAGGAGGAACACCGGUGGCGAAGGCGGGUCUCUGGGCGAGUGAACUGACACUGGAGGCGCGACAGCCGUGGGGAGCAAACAGG
rnacentral:rRNA from 1 species